UACGUAUGGAGCAAGCGUUAUCCGGAUUUACUGGGCGUAAAGGGAGCGUAGGCGGCCUGCCAAGUCUGAUGUGAAAUACCGGGGCCCAACCCCGGAACUGCUCUGGAAACUGUGAAGCUGGAGUGCAGGAGAGGUAAGCGGAAUUCCUGGUGUAGCGGUGAAAUGCGUAGAUAUCAGGAGGAACACCGGCGGCGAAGGCGGCUUACUGGACUGUAACUGACGUUGAGGCUCGAAGGCGUGGGGAGCAAACAGG
rnacentral:rRNA from 1 species